UCCAGGAGGACUGUGCUGGGAAGCUGUUCUCAGGUCAGGAAAGUUGGUACCCACUACCUUUGCUUGCCCUGAGUACCAGGAAAAGGCCUGCUGACUGCUUGCUGAAUCGAAAGCUCUGCUCGCUGCUUCUGCUUCCAGAACAGCUGGGGCCCCUGGAUGCUGAGAACCACACGCUAGGCUGAGGCAAAGGCAUAUGAUGGAGCCAAAAAGUACUGGGACUGGAAUUUGAGAAAACCAAAUUCUGUUCCUAACUCCAGGC